GUAGGGAAUAUUGCGCAAUGGGCGAAAGCCUGACGCAGCAACGCCGCGUGGGUGACGAAGCUCUUUGGAGUGUAAAACCCUGUCAGCGGGAAAGAAACGGCCACGCAGGUAAUGGCGUGGCCCUGACGGUACCCGCAGAGGAAGUUCCGGCUAACUCCGUGCCAGCAGCCGCGGUAACACGGGGGGAACGAGCGUUGUUCGGAUUUACUGGGCGUAAAGGGUGCGUAGGCGGGCCGGUCAGUCGGAUGUGAAAUCUCACGGCUCAACCGUGGGCGGCCAUUCGAAACUGCUGGUCUUGAGUACGGGAGAGGAAAGUGGAAUUCCUGGUGUAGCGGUGAAAUGCGUAGAUAUCAGGAGGAACACCGGUGGCGAAGGCGGCUUUCUGGACCGAUACUGACGCUGAGGCACGAAGGCCGGGGGAGCAAACAGGAUUAGAUACCCUGGUAGUCC
rnacentral:rRNA from 1 species